UACGAAGGGGGCUAGCGUUGCUCGGAAUCACUGGGCGUAAAGCGCACGUAGGCGGAUCUUUAAGUCAGGGGUGAAAUCCCGAGGCUCAACCUCGGAACUGCCCUUGAUACUGGGGAUCUCGAGUCCGGAAGAGGUUGGUGGAACUCCGAGUGUAGAGGUGAAAUGCGUAGAUAUCGGGAGGAACACCUGUGGCGAAGGCGGCCCCCUGGUUGGAUACUGACGCUGAUACGCGAAAGCGUGGGGAGCAAACAGG
rnacentral:rRNA from 1 species